AAGACCCACCACCUACCUGUGAGGAACCUAUAUUGCUAAUUGUGACUAGCAGUAUGUCUACCUAGCAAAAUAUAGGACAAUUUUUUGUCACCCUCCCAACUACACAGGAUGCACGGCUGCAAAUUCUGUACAGCCUGCUGGAGCACAAUUGUCUCAGGAGUCACUGCUGCUCUGUCAAAUUUGACUGGUGAUAGAAUACGGUCUCAGAAGUAUUUGGGAAGGAAGAGGGCACAGAUACAGAGAUGUGCAUGAACCAAGUGAGCACAUUAGCUGCCUUUUCAUUGGAAACCAUUCCAAGACCUUCUUGGAUGCUUGCAGUUUUCUUCAUGAGGAAUAACUGAAUAAAAACUAGGAAUGGAACAGCAAUGGAAGAGAAGGAAAUUAGGACACUUCUGUCUGUUCAUUGUGCAAGCUGGGAGAAACAAGACUGGCAAUUAAAGGAA